rnacentral:rRNA from 1 species
ACUCCCAGGUGACCUGCGGAGGUCAUUA